rnacentral:rRNA from 1 species
GUAGCUGGWCUGAGAGGUUGGACAGCCACACUGGGACUGAGACACGGCCCAGACUCCUACGGGAGGCAGCAGUGGGGAAUAUUGGACAAUGGGGGCAACCCUGAUCCAGCGAUGCCGCGUGUGUGAAGAAGGCCUGAGGGUUGUAAAGCACUUUCAGUGGGGAGGAGAGGUUGCAGGUUAAGAGCCAGUGAUUGAGACGUUACCCACAGAAGAAGCACCGGCUAACUCCGUGCCAGCAGCCGCGGUAAUACGGAGGGUGCGAGCGUUAAUCGGAAUUAUUGGGCGUAAAGGGUGCGUAGGUGGUUGAAUAAGUUAUCUGUGAAAACCCUGGGCUUAACUUGGGGGAGAGAGAUAAAACUGUCUGACUAGAGUAUGG